UUUCAUUAUCAUCAUUCCUGACUCCAUGAUCCUUGUUGGAAAGCCGAAAAACUGUGGAGUGUGCUCUGGAAGAUAUCAAAAAAGACCGAAUCAAUGGGGGUUGAGGUAAAAGGUCCCGACCCCAAACGCGUUACUUCCAUGAGAUGAUGUGAUUUUUCUUCGUUUACUCUAUUUUUUAAUCCAAGUCAAGCAAGAUCAUACCGGCAAACGCGUUUUCAACUUUUUCCUUCCAUGAAACGAACGAACUCAUCGUUUUGCUGACCGUGGACUCACAACUUUGUUGAUCUGGAAUUCCCUCCCAGAGCUUCAUCCCUAAUCUCUUCCAUGCUUGGUUCAAUGGCCCAACAAAUCCCCAAUCCCACUGCUCAAGACCCCAAUGUUGUAUUUUUCAGAGAAUGUUCUGUUUCUUCUCUUCCGAAUCCCUGUGCUACGGCGAUGGGUGAAGGCGGCUUUGGAUUAGUUUACAAGGUUAAACUACUGAAAACAUUUAUUAAUAUGCUCAGAAAGGAGUGUUCUGACUCUUGGGUGUGUGUCAUUGAAGAGCCUUCAGUUGAUUUUAUGGGAACAAGGACGUUAGGUGUCAAAGGGAAUUCCAUCUAUGAUGAAAUUCAACUUACAGGCAUGAGUACCGUGUUAAUGGGCCAUAGAUUUAAGCGCUAUCUGAAUAAGGAAAUUACAAUACGAGUAGCAUCAUGUGCAAUUUCGACUAUUAUGGCUCUUCAUACGUCUGUCCUGCUAUGUAACCUGCCACUAUUCAGAAAUCAUUUGCCAUUAUUCUUGUUCCCUGUCGAGGAACUGCAAAAAGAACAUGGCUUCAGGUCCAUACUGAUUCCCAUGCUUGAAUUGUUCAGCUACAUGGUGCUUGUUUCAGCUGUUGCUUCAAUAAUUCUUCUUCGUGCAAAAUUCACCCGCAUGCACUCUGUUUGGUUCUUCUCUUGGAGCAUCCUCAUGAUUGCUGAAUCGGAUAAUCCAAUCAAUGCACUGUACCUUACAUUACUAGGAAUUUUUUUCAUAUGGUGGUAUGCAGUAUGCUCCUGGAAAAGCAGCAACCAAAUGCAAGGACAGAAGUUGUCUGGCACAGUUGAGCCGGAGAGUUCUCAUGAUCUUUAUCCUUGAAUUUGCUAUCUCUCAAUAUGCACUAUAUAUGUUACUAAGUGAGAGAGUUGCUCUUUCUGAGAAAACAUACUAUAAUUCCAAUGUAAAAUAAAUGUCACUUAUGUGGCUGUUUGCUGUUUAUACUCGUCUUUGUAAUUUGAAGUUGUACUUCUUUGAUCUCGGUUCAGUGCUAUGAUGUUUUGCUGUUUGUAACUUCUAAAUUGGAUUGUGUACCAAACUUUGUGCUUGAUUAUUGAAUGCUUGGAGUAUGUUAUAUAUAUCAUAGAGCGUAUGAAUUUAUCCUC